rnacentral:tRNA from 1 species
ACCUGGGUGGCUCAGUCGGUUGAGCGCCUGACUUUGGCUCAAGUCAUGAUCUCACAGCUUUGUGGGUUCGAGCCCCACAUCAGGCU